rnacentral:lncRNA from 12 species
CUUUGAGCCAGUGCAGUUCUCAGAGUGGAAUAAAAAGGAAUUGAAGAAGCAAAAAUAAAUAUUAAAGCACGUAAGAAUUAAAUAUCACCUAUUCAAAUAGCAAUUAUGCCGUUGAAAACAAGAUCACCACACCUGUACAAGAAAAGACAACCAAGCCUAAAACAUCUGUUUGGAUCCACCUGCCAAGCACCUGUUCUGCUGUUUCAAUGCCAUUUGAUUGCUGGAGAUGUAGAGGCUCUUGUGAGUUGUAUGCAUUGUGCUGAUGGAAGAUGCUGCAGACUCAGGUCUUUAUCCACAGACCAGUUUCCAUGCUGGGAACUGCAGGAUGAAUCAGCCCGUGCUCCUCACCAUGGAGAAUUCAGCAGCUGCUUGGGAUCAUCUCCCAGAGAUGAAGGAGAUGUGGAAGUCAAACUGAGAGGUUCAGCAUCCCCUCUGCCUCCUCCCAAGGUAAGCAGUGCAGCUGGAAUGGCUUCAGCCAGGAGAAUUUGGAGCUGGGAUGAGAUGAACUGGAGCAGCCAAAGGUUUUCCUGCCACCAUGUGUGCCUGCUCUCUCUCUGUUCCCUCAGCCAGGGGUGGAAUUUAGUUUAGCAAUUUUAGUUUAGCAACAAGGUUAGUGUCUGUUGUGGUUUUAGUUUUUAUUGCGGGAGUCUUCUGUGAUGGGCAAUGAGGAAUCUUGGUGGGGAUGAAGGGAGUGGAGAAACCUUCCUGUCCACUGCUGUUGAUGUGACAAUGAAGUGGGAAAAGAAUAAAAGAGAAGAACGAAAAUGAAAUUGCUGAUUUGAAAGGAGGACUGGACAGAGGUCUCCCUCAGGUGACAGAUGGAAACAUCCCAUGGAAGCAUCCAAGGCCAGUUUGGACAGGGCUCUGAGCAGCAUGGUCAAGUUGAAGAUGUUCCUGUUCAAUACAGGGGGGUUGGACUGGGUGGCCUUUGAAGGUCCCUUCUAACCCAAACCAUUCCAUGAUUCUGGGGAAGAAAAGAGGCUGAAGGCCACUAUUAAAAGCUGCUGUAUGUUAAUUAAAAACCCCACCAUGGUGCAAGAACACAAUUUUUU